rnacentral:rRNA from 1 species
GAUGAACGCUGGCGGCGUGCCUAAUACAUGCAAGUCGAGCGAACGGACGAGAAGCUUGCUUUUCUGAUGUUAGCGGCGGACGGGUGAGUAACACGUGGAUAACCUACCUAUAAGACUGGGAUAACUUCGGGAAACCGGAGCUAAUACCGGAUAAUAUUUUGAACCGCAUGGUUCAAAAGUGAAAGACGGUCUUGCUGUCACUUAUAGAUGGAUCCGCGCCGCAUUAGCUAGUUGGUAAGGUAACGGCUUACCAAGGCAACGAUGCAUAGCCGACCUGAGAGGGUGAUCGGCCACACUGGAACUGAGACCAGGUCCAGACUCCUAAGGGAGGCAGCAGUAGGGAAACUUCCGCAAUGGGCGAAAGCCUGACGGAGCAACGCCGCGUGAGUGAUGAAGGUCUUCGGAUCGUAAAAACCUUGUAUUAGGGAAGAACCAAUGUGUAAGUAACUAGGCAACACCUGACGGUACCUAAUCAGAAAGCCACGGCUAACUACGGG